GGCGACUUGGCUGAGUGGCUUAAAGCACCGGGCCGAGAACCCGGCGGGGACGUGACGCCUCCAAGCUAACACGCGCCCCCAUCCGUUCGAAUCGGAUAGUCGCCGCCA
rnacentral:tRNA from 1 species